rnacentral:rRNA from 1 species
UACAGAGGGUGCGAGCGUUAAUCGGAAUUACUGGGCGUAAAGCGUGCGUAGACGGUCAAGUAAGUCGGGUGUGAAAGCCCCGGGCUCAACCUGGGAAUUGCAUUCGAGACUGCGUGGCUAGGGUGCGGAAGAGGGAAGCGGAAUUUCCGGUGUAGCGGUGAAAUGCGUAGAUAUCGGAAGGAACACCAGUGGCGAAAGCGGCUUCCUGGUCCAGCACCGACGUCAGGCACGAAAGCGUGGGGAGCAAACAGG